rnacentral:rRNA from 1 species
UACGUAGGGUGCGAGCGUUGUCCGGAAUUAUUGGGCGUAAAGAGCUCGUAGGCGGUCUGUCGCGUCGAAUGUGAAAACCCGGGGCUCAACUCCGGGCUUGCAUUCGAUACGGGCAGGCUAGAGUUCGGUAGGGGAGUCUGGAAUUCCUGGUGUAGCGGUGAAAUGCGCAGAUAUCAGGAGGAACACCGGUGGCGAAGGCGGGACUCUGGGCCGAUACUGACGCUGAGGAGCGAAAGCGUGGGGAGCAAACAGG